rnacentral:rRNA from 1 species
AUUGAACGCUGGCGGCAUGCCUUACACAUGCAAGUCGAACGGCAGCACGGGAGCAAUCCUGGUGGCGAGUGGCGAACGGGUGAGUAAUAUAUCGGAACGUGCCCAGUAGUGGGGGAUAGCCCGGCGAAAGCCGGAUUAAUACCGCAUACGACCUGAGGGUGAAAGCGGGGGAUCGCAAGACCUCGCGCUAUUGGAGCGGCCGAUAUCAGAUUAGCUAGUUGGUGGGGUAAAGGCCUACCAAGGCUACGAUCUGUAGUUGGUCUGAGAGGACGACCAGCCACACUGGGACUGAGACACGGCCCAGACUCCUACGGGAGGCAGCAGUGGGGAAUUUUGGACAAUGGGCGCAAGCCUGAUCCAGCAAUGCCGCGUGCAGGAAGAAGGCCUUCGGUUGUAAACUGCUUUGUUCUAGGGAAGAAAGUACUUCUGGCGUAAUACCCGGGACGGACGUGACGGUACCGUGAAGAAUAAGACACCGGCGUAACUACGUAGCCAGACAGCCGACC